rnacentral:rRNA from 1 species
AUUGAACGCUGGCGGCAUGCUUUACACAUGCAAGUCGAACGGCAGCGCGGGCUUCGGCCUGGCGGCGAGUGGCGAACGGGUGAGUAAUGCAUCGGAACGUGCCCAGUAGUGGGGGAUAGCCCGGCGAAAGCCGGAUUAAUACCGCAUACGACCUGAGGGUGAAAGCGGGGGACCGAAAGGCCUCGCGCGAUUGGAGCGGCCGAUGUCGGAUUAGCUAGUUGGUGGGGUAAAGGCUUACCAAGGCGACGAUCCGUAGCUGGUCUGAGAGGACGACCAGCCACACUGGGCCUGAGACACGGCCCAGACUCCUACGGGAGGCAGCAGUGGGGAAUGUUGGACAAAGGGGGCAACCCUGAUCCAGCCAUGCCGCGUGGGGGAAGAAGGCCUUCGGGUUGUAAACCGCUUUUGUUCGGGAAGAAAUCCUCUGGGCUAAUACCCCGGGGGGAUGACGGUACCGGAAGAAUAAGCACCGGCUAACUACGUG